GUGACAGAAGAGAGUGAGCACACAUGGUACUCUUUCUUGCAUGUCCCAAUUCAUGCUCGAAGCUCUGUGUGCUCACUCUCUGUCUGUCAC
rfam:Eucalyptus grandis cultivar BRASTZ1 unplaced genomic scaffold scaffold_3, whole genome shotgun sequence.